GAACCUCUGCGGCGGCGGUGGCAGGGUACGCGGGACCGCUCCCUCCCAGCCGACUUACGAGAACAUCCCCCGACCAUCCAGCCCCGAGCAGGGACUGGCAGAGCCGGCGCCCCUUCCCCGGACUCUGGCCGCGUAGCCUCCGCCACCACUCCCAGUUCACAGACCUCGCGACCUGUGUCAGCAGAGCCGCCCUGCACCACCAUGUGCAUCAUCUUCUUUAAGUUUGAUCCUCGCCCUGUUUCCAAAAACGCGUACAGGCUCAUCUUGGCAGCCAACAGGGAUGAAUUCUACAGCCGACCCUCCAAGUUAGCUGACUUCUGGGGGAACAACAACGAGAUCCUCAGUGGUUGGAGUGCAAUGGUGCGAUCUCGGCUCACUGCAACCUCCACCUCCCAGGUUCAAGCAAUUCUCCUGCCUCAGCCUCCUGAGUAGCUGGAAUUACAGCCGCUUGCCACCACGCCCAGCUAAUUUUUGUAUUUUUAGUAGAGAUGGGGUUUCACCAUGUUGGCCAGGCUGGUCUCGAACUCCUGACCUCAGGUGAUCCGACUGCCUCGGCC
rnacentral:sRNA from 1 species